rnacentral:rRNA from 1 species
GAUGAACGCUGGCGGCGUGCCUAAUACAUGCAAGUCGAGCGAACAGACGAGGAGCUUGCUCCUCUGACGUUAGCGGCGGACGGGUGAUUAACACGUGGAUAACCUACCUAUAAGACUGGGAUAACUUCGGGAAACCGUAUCUAAUACCGGAUAAUAUAUUGAACUUCAUUGUUCAAUAGUUAAAGACGGUUUUGCUGUCACUUAUAGAUUGAUCCGCGCCGCAUUAGCUAGUUGGUAAGGUAACGGCUUACCAAGGCAACGAUGCGUAGCCGACCUGAGAGGGGGAUCGGCCACACUGGAACUGAGACACGGUCCAGACUCCUACGGGAGGCAGCAGUAGGGAAUCUUCCGCGAUGGGCGAAAGCUUGACGGAGCAACGCCGCGUGAGUGAUGAAGCUCUUCGGAUCGUAAAACUCUGUUAUUAGGGAAGAACAAAUGUGUAAGUAACUAUGCACGUCUUGACGGUACCUGAUCAGAAAGCCACGGCUAACUACGUG